UAUGAACGCUAGCGGCAGGCCUAACACAUGCAAGUCGAGGGGUAACUAGAGUGAUAGCAAUAUUACUUUGGCUAGACCGGCGCACGGGUGCGUAACACGUAUGCAACCUACCUUAUACUGGGGAAUAACUUCGAGAAAUCGGCGCCAAUACCCCAUAACAUUGCGAAGAGGCAUCUCUUUGCAAUUAAAGCUCCGGCGGUAUAAGAUGGGCAUGCGUCCAAUUAGCUAGUUGGUGAGGUAACGGCUCACCAAGGCUACGAUUGGUAGGGGUUCUGAGAGGAUGAUCCCCCACACUGGUACUGAGACACGGACCAGACUCCUACGGGAGGCAGCAGUGAGGAAUAUUGCGCAAUGGACGAAAGUCUGACGCAGCCAUGCCGCGUGCAGGAUGACGGCCCUAUGGGUUGUAAACUGCUUUUGUACGGGAAUAAACCCUUCUACGUGUAGGAGGCUGAAGGUACCGUAAGAAUAAGCACCGGCUAACUCCGUGCCAGCAGCCGCCGUAACAC
rnacentral:rRNA from 1 species